GACAGAGGAUGCAAGCGUUAUCCGGAAUGAUUGGGCGUAAAGCGUCUGUAGGUGGCUUUUUAAGUCCGCCGUCAAAUCCCAGGGCUCAACCCUGGACAGGCGGUGGAAACUACCAAGCUGGAGUACGGUAGGGGCAGAGGGAAUUCCGGUGGAGCGGUGAAAUGCGUAGAGAUGUGGAGGAACACCGAUGGCGAAGGCAGCCCCCUGGGUCGAAGAUUGACGCUCAUGCACGAAAGCGUGGGGAGCAAACAGGAUUAGAAACCCGUGGUAA
rnacentral:rRNA from 1 species